UCCUGGAUUCUGAGGCCCCCAGAAAACUUCCCUACUCGUGUGUUUACUGUCCCUUGGUUUAAGAGAGGACAGCAGUUCCCGCAUAUCAGUGUGAACAUUUUCUUCACAUGAUUUCCUACAAGUAAGAUAUCUAAAAGAUUAACAAAGAAUAACAAUUUGUUUUAUCUUUAGACGGGAAAGACGCAGGAGGAAUUGAAAGGCCUUCAAGCAGAAGUGCAAAACGACAUCAAGACAUUACACGGGAGCCACUAAGUGAGAAGACUUACGGAAGAUGGUGGACCCUGUUGAUGAUGACUUCCUGCUCAUAUGCUUUCUGCGCUGCCACCUCAAGGCAAUAAAAUGAAAAGAGAAAUUUUAAAAAAAAUCAUAGUAGUCAAAUGUAUAGAAAACCUGUGAUACUUAUCGAUUCCCUUGCCUUUGUAACUAAGGGCUGAGAGCAA